rnacentral:rRNA from 1 species
AUUGAACGCUGGCGGCAGGCCUAACACAUGCAAGUCGAGCGAGAGGCGGACGGGUGUGUAAUAUAUGGGGACUGCGCGAGAGAGGGGGGUAACUACAGGAAACGGUGGCUAAUACAGCACACUGUAGGAGAACCCAUAUGGGAUUAGCUAGUGGGUAAGGUAAUGGCUUACCUAGGUGACGAGACCUAGCUGGUCUGAGAGGAGGAUCAGCCACACUGGGACUGAGACACGGGCCAGACUCCUACGGAGGCAGCAGUGGGGAAUAUUGCACAAUGGGCGCAAGCCUGAUGCAGCCAUGCCGCGUGUAUGAAGAAGGCCCUAGGGUUGUAAAGUACUUUCAGUCGGGAGGCGUUACCGACAGAAGAAGCACCGGCUAACUCCGUGCCAGCCGCCGCGGUAAUAC